AGUCAGGGAAAACACCCAACUGCAAGGAUAAACUUGAAGAGAAAACUGACUCCCAGGUGGGCAGCAGGUGCCCUGAAAGGUGUGAAGAAGCUGGAGGAAAGAGGCAGAGCCACCAGUCUUGCCAUCCUACGUGGGAGCCACAGGCCUCCUGUGUGUGUGUUAGUCUCGGUAUCGGGUCAGAACCCCCUCCUCAUCAGGUGCAGCUUCACCCCCUCUCACAGAGGAGGAAGGAGGUUAUAGGAACUGUUGCUCACGCGCAGCUGGGUCUGCGCUUCCCAGGACCAAGGAUGAAGACUGCGGUCCUCUCAGAAAUUCUUGGUGACCAAAGGCUGACAUUUCUGAGAGGUUCCUGGGCUGUGGGUGAUUUCAGGCUUCUGCCCCUCUGUGGUCAGUGUUUGGGAGCUGCACCUCAGGGAUGAUUGGUUGGUGUUAGAUGAUGGAUGUGAUGGUUAUUGGAGCCCCUGCUGUAGGAGCUGUGAUGGAUGACAACGGAGGUGGUGUCUGUGGUUUGUGGUUUCCUGCUGUUAUUUUAGAGGAAACAGAAACUGUGACCAGUGUUGUGUCCGCUGGGUAUUUUUCCUCCAUUUUUCCUAGAAUUCAAGAUGAGGAAAGACGCUAACUCAAAAUGCCCUUAGGAUAACUGAUCUCGCGGUAUCUCCAGCACCUGGAAUGACGGAUGGCGCACAGGAAUUACUCCACAGACAUCUGCUGGGUGAAUGAACUCAUGUAUCCCUGUCCUCUGGUCUUUGGCUCUUCCAGCUGAGGUUGGAGACAGGGUGACAAUGCACCUAUUUCUUCUGUAACUGUCACGUUGGUCCAGGGGUGGUCCCGAGGCCAAGAGGAGGCCAGCAUGAUGAUUGCAGCCGAGGUGGUGUGAACACCACUGCAGCAGAAGGUAGCCAAACUCCUGAGGGCCACCCUAGGCGGGGAGGGUGUGCCUGCCUUGAUGGGGCCAGGGAGACAUAAUCUCCAAAACCAAGAUGGUGGAGGCUGGAGGUGGAAUUUCCGAGGAGAGGAGGGCGUGGAGGAAAAGGCAAGUUGGAGCUGUGCUGAAUGCAGGUGAAAUCCUUUGGGUACCUGGCUGGAAUCCAGAAUGACUUCCCUGAGUGGAGGAAGCCUCAGAAAGGAGGAAAAUUGCAGAGAAGAGGCUGAGGAGCAUCCCAGGGGCCUGCGUUGCAAGGAGCAGCAUCUCCUGUCUCACUGUGCUGGGAGGUUAAUAUUCCUUGGCAUCAGAAAUUGGAUUCAAAGGAAAUGACCUCAAAGGACAAUGACUCUUGGAAUUGAGCAAGGUGCCUGCACUGAACCCCUUGUGCUCAUCACUUCCAUGAGUUGUUCAUGACUUGCAGUUUGGUGAGUCUCCUCUUGGAUUCUGAGCUCCCUCCCUUUGGUUGAGCUCUCCGACUUUAUGACUUUAUUUGGAAUCUGUUUAAAGGAUUUGUCCUUUUUGGGAAAAGAAUCUGAGUAAAGGGACCCAACUAUGCCUUAUUCUUAGAAGACACUAGGCUUUCUGGAAUUCAACUGACCAUGGAAACUAAACUAUAUAACUUAGAGGGACACAACUGAGAUUCUUCAUUUUUCAAUCCUUUUGUUAUUUAAAUGAGUCUUUGAAAAGCUGAUGCCACGACAGAAUUAGACAUGCAAAAGAUUAACUGGAGGAAAUGCCUUAGAAAGAAAAAGAGGAGUAUAUUAGUUACCCACUACUGCAUAACGAAUUACUCCAAAACUUCGUGGAAGUGGAAGUUAAAACAACAGACAUUCAUUAUUUCACAGUUUCUGCAGGUCAGAAAUCUGGAGAGACUGAGCUAGGUUUUUGUGGCUCAGGGCCUCUUGGGAGGUUGCAGCUGAGUUGUCAGCGUGGGUGACAGUCAGUUAAAGGCUUCCAAGCUCACUCAGGGGACUGCUGGCUGGAGGCUCCUUGCCGUGUGGGCUACAGCUGCUCAACAACAAGGCUGAUGGCUUCCCCCAGAGUGAGUGAUCUGAGAGAGAGAGCAACCAGGCAGAAGCUGUAGUGGCUUUUAUAACCUAAUCUCAGAAGUGACAUGUUAUCACUCGUGCUCUAUUCUACUGGGCACUCAGACUGACAUAGUACAGAGGGGGAGGGGACGGCUGAGGACCGGGGUGGAGGGAGGGGCCGGGAGGAGGCACAACUGUGCUCACCACCAAGCCAGUGUCCAAAAUGCCUGCAGGUGGGAGGUGCACUUUCUCUGCCUCUCCUCCCUCCUCCUCCUCUCUCUCUCCUUCCCUCUCCUCCCCUCCUCGCCCUUCUUCCUUCCUUUCUCCCUUUUUAUUUUUAUUUUUUGUUGGGGGAGGUAAUUAGGUCUUUUUACUUAUUUAUUUUUAGAGGAGUUACCAGGGAUUGAACCCAGGAACUCAUGUAUGCUAAGCAUGUGCUCUACCACUUAAGCUGUACCCUCCCCUCCCUUCCUUUUUAUUUUUUCAGACAAAUGCAAUACACAAAUGUUACAGGAAGUCUUACUUAAAGGGUGGGAAAUCACAUACAACCCAUCUUCUUCACCUUAAUACUUUUUUUCACUCCCAAUUUUCUCAUCUACAUACACAUUUUAACAUAGCUGCAGCCACACCUAAGCACCAGCCUAUAGAGGCAUGCAGGUGGGGCCAGGCAGCCUCCAAGCAAGAGAAGAGGAGGGGACAUGAGAGGCGGUUGGGUUGCAGCUGAGGCUGGGGUAGGGACUGAGGCUGGGAUGGGACUGAGGCCGGGGUGGGACUGAGGCUGGGGUGGGACUGAGGCUGGAUAGGGACUGAGGCUGGGGUGGGACUGAGGCUGGCAGCAGCACUCACAACAGCGUCUCACUGGGAGGGAUCAAACAUGGGGGGCAUUGCAUGUAAAAAAAAUUGAGUUGAUUCUUCCUGGGUGCCCAGAGUGACAACUAAUAAUUAAAGAAGGUUUGACAGGAUGAGGGAGGGAAGGGGGAAAGAUGGCUCUGAGGAUGUACCAGAGGAAGAAGGCCACGGAGAUGGUACAGCCUGUAUAAUGGAGCAGAAGAGGCAGAAAUGCCACAGCGAAAGACACCGAACAAGAGAAGGAUUGGGGUAGGCAUCAGAAACAGGCUGGUGGUCAAGGAGCUUCUGUGCCGAAGUUCUCAUACCUUGGAGUCACAUCACAUCCAGGAAGGAGCUACAUCUCUCACCCCAAUCUCCAUCGACUUGCAGGUGGUCGUGGGUCCUCAGGUGGAGGUGAGAGAGAUGACUCGGCAGGCUUACUGACCCUGGCCGAUUAACGAGGGAAAGAAAGUGCCAGGCUGAUGAAAGGCAGGACACUUCUCUUAUCCCACAGGUGGCUCCUUAAUUCCAAUGACAUAGUACUGUAGGACGAUUUAUGAUUUACAAUUGCUGCAUUAGUCCCAAGGACAUACCCCAGUAUCUCUUUCCUUGUUCUCUUUCUCCCCCUGAAGUUUCAGGUUUAGGGCUGAGCUCCAUGGGAGGAAAGAGCCAAUAGGGGAAGACGACUGGCCCCACUGGCCCGGAGGGAAGAUCACGAUGGCAGAGUCUUCUGAUCAUUCUCCUGCAGCCUGAUGUGGGCAGGGGGCUGUCUCCACCAGCUACCAGGCUGACGCUCCCUGCUCCAGUGUUUUCCUCUCUGAGAAAUAAAAGCAGUUCUUUUUUUUUUCA